rnacentral:rRNA from 1 species
ACUUAGUGGCAGACGGGUGAGUAACAUGUGGGUAUCUACCCUUUGGCCUGGAAUAACACGAGGAAACUUGUGCUAAUACCGGAUAAGUCUUUACGGAGAAAGCUUUAUGCACCAUUGGAUGAGCCCGCACUUGAUUAGUUUGUUGGUAGGGUAAUGGCCUACCAAGACUAUGAUCAAUAGCUGAUUUGAGAGGAUGAUCAGCCACAUUGGGACUGAGACACGGCCCAAACUCCUACGGGAGGCAGCAGUGGGGAAUCUUGCACAAUGGAGGAAACUCUGAUGCAGCGAUGCCGCGUGAGUGAAGAAGGCCUUUGGGUUGUAAAGCUCUUUCGUCGGGGAAGAAAAUGACUGUACCCGAAUAAGAAGGUCCGGCUAACUUCGUGCCAGCAGCCGCGGUAAUACGAAGGGACCUAGCGUAGUUCGGAAUUACUGGGCUUAAAGAGUUCGUAGGUGGUUGAAAAAGUUGGUGGUGAAAUCCCAGAGCUUAACUCUGGAACUGCCAUCAAAACUUUUCAGCUAGAGUAUGAUAGAGGA